rnacentral:tRNA from 1 species
AUUUAAAUAGCUUAUAUAAUUAGAGUGUAAUAUUGAAGAUAUUAAGGAGAUUUAUUAAUCUUUAAAUA